ACGUAGGGUGCGAGCGUUAAUCGGAAUUACUGGGCGUAAAGCGUGCGCAGGCGGUUCGCUAAGACAGGUGUGAAAUCCCCGGGCUUAACCUGGGAAUGGCGCUUGUGAUUGGUGGGUUGGAGUAUGGUAGAGGGGGGUGGAAUUCCAGGUGUAGCAGUGAAAUGCGUAGAGAUGUGGAGGAACAUUGAUGGCGAAGGUAGCCCCCUGGGUCGAUACUGACGCUCA
rnacentral:rRNA from 1 species